AUUGAACGCUGGCGGCAUGCCUUACACAUGCAAGUCGAACGGCAGCACGGGUGCUUGCACCUGGUGGCGAGUGGCGAACGGGUGAGUAAUACAUCGGAACGUACCUUAUCGUGGGGGAUAACGCAGCGAAAGCUGUGCUAACAACGCAUACGCCCUGAGGGGGAAAGCGGGGGACCGCGAGACCUCGCGCGAUUAGAGCGGCCGAUGCCUGGUUAGCUUGUUGGGGGGGUAAAAGCCCACCAAGGCGACGAUCAGUAGCUGGUCUGAGAGGACGAUCAGCCACACUGGGACUGAGACACGGCCCAGACUCCUACGGGAGGCAGCAGUGGGGAAUUUUGGACAAUGGGGGCAACCCUGAUCCAGCAAUGCCGCGUGAGUGAAGAAGGCCUUCGGGUUGUAAAGCUCUUUUGUCAGGGAAGAAACACCGGCUCUAACACAGUCUGGGAAUGACGGUACCUGAAGAAUAAGCACCGGCUAACUACGUGCCAGCCGCCGCCGUAA
rnacentral:rRNA from 1 species